rnacentral:sRNA from 1 species
GCAAACUUAAAAGACUACGCAGGUCAUAAAAAUGUUUAGUUUAUUUGGAGAAUUCAAAAAGUUAGCACCGGUAUGAGAGUCUUCGGAACUAUUCUUCUGUUGGCAAUUUUAGCCCUAGAUGUGUGCAAUGCAGUAAAAUGUGUUUUAACGUGUCAUACAUCAGCUGGCGACUACGAAGUCAUUGAGAUAUAAGUUGUGUGCGAUCUUUAAAGCUAUAAACUAUAACGGAGCAUUAAAUGAAUGUUGGAUAAUACUGCAAUAAAAUAUAUAUUGGAUUUAAAAUCAUUAUUCAUACCUGUGGAAACAGAUGAAUAAUUUACGCUAUUAUUAUUGGUAGUAUUGAUAUGCAAUGAGUUUUUCUUAUUACGUCUGUCUCUUCUAUCCAAUCGAAAUCUCUAGUCUGACUACCAACCGCAAUAAAUUACAGAAAUCAAAUCUUAUUGCUCUUCAUCUCUUUAUGACAUUUUCUUGUGCACAUUGCUUUUCGGUCGACAAAAUCGAAACCAAGUAGCUAUAGCUUGUUACAAUGUCAAGUUGAUUUUUCCGAUGAUUCUUCAAGUAGUUCCUUAUUGAUGACCAUCAGUCGGGAAUAGCUGGGCAUCAAGGAAAUCCCUCCCACAGAAAUUCCUCGAACAAGUUUUCAGCAUUCCCAUCUCGCCUUGGUUGCCAAUCAUUUACUCACUUUCGAUACCAUUCGAGCUUAAGAUUAAUCCGGCAUUUGUUUCGGGAUAUUCGCUUGAAAGUAUCACCUUAUUGAUGACCCAGUUUUCCGGGAGGGGAGCUGUUGCGAAAACCCUUUAGUUUGGCCCGUCACCUACGGCAUGGCAAUUUAUUCCUCAACACUCCCGCUUCGACGGCAGGACAAAGUUUUGUUUCUCGGUUUAUGGGCAAUGGCUUCCAGGACUCCGGCACUCCGGCACUCCGGCCACGUCCAAUAUCCAACCAUGCACGCAAAAGUUUGCCAAAAACUUCUCUCGAGUCUAACAAAUUCAAUUUGUCAGGCCUGGCGCGCCUCGGAGUGCGGCUAAUCCAUUUACAAUUUCAAAGUAAACAAACAAAAUGUAUCUGCAGCUCGAGCUGCUCGGCAUCCGAAGCUCGGCAUCAGCUCGUCGAGACAUUUAGCCCCGGUUUGAGUUUGAAUUUCGUUGGUAUUUCCAAUGAAAAUGCAGCGGAAACUUGACUGCCAACAGCCAGCCGACUCACUUGGUAGUUUAUGCAGUUUGCCCUGCCUACUUUUCACACACUCGAACCAAAAUACUUCAAAUGUUCUCGAAAACAAAAACUGGGAAAGACUGGGAACAUCAACAUUCUCAAAGCUAAGAAAACUUUUGUUGAAAUAAUUGCAUUUUCUACCAGUCUCUUUGGCCUGAAUAAAAUGCAUCAAAGCCAUAGACGGAGUUUAUCUAAUUAAGUGCAGGUGAAAGCAACGACACGGUACUUGAGUGAAAUAAAAAGCCCCAUUCUUCUUACA